GCAUCGGUGGUUCAGUGGUAGAAUGCUCGCCUGCCACGCGGGCCAUAGAAUAGCAACACAGAAGUAACACAUAAACUACAGGAAUAAGUGUGUGUGAUGGCAAAAAUUUGUAUUAUAUUAGUGUUUAGGUAUUCGAUUCCCGGCCGAUGCA